rnacentral:rRNA from 1 species
UACGUAGGGACCAAGCGUUGUCCGGAAUCAUUGGGCGUAAAGAGCGUGUAGGCGGCUUGUUAAGUCUUGCGUGAAAUCUCGGGGCUCAACCCCGAGCGGUCGUGAGAAACUGGCAGGCUAGAGUGCGGGAGAGGAGAGUGGAAUUCCUGGUGUAGCGGUGAAAUGCGCAGAUAUCAGGAAGAACACCCGUGGCGAAGGCGGCUCUCUGGAACGCAACUGACGCUGAGACGCGAAAGCGUGGGGAGCAAAAGGG